rnacentral:lncRNA from 1 species
UAAAAUACUUAAACUCAAUUAUUAUUAUCAGGGUCUAUGAUUUCUUAUGUAGUGGGUACAUAGUAGCAAUAAUAACUCGUUGGGUCCAAACCACCGGCCCAAAUUACUUAAGUCUAGUUUUUAUUAUUAUGGUCCAUAGUCUCUUGUAUAGUUAUAUAUCUAAUCACAAUUCCGUUUCCAUCCAAUAUGGGACCAUUGGGUAUCACAGUAGCAAUAAUAAAAAAUUGGCCCCAAAAUACUUAAACCCAAUUAUUAUCAUUAGGGUCCAUGAUCUCUUAUAUAUUAUAUUUUCAAUCCCAAUUUCUUUUCCAUCCCAUGUGAGACUAUUGGGGUAUCACAGACUCCCGCUGUUUCUGACGUCUUUGUCAGCCCAAUCACACACACAACCCAAGACACUCCUUAUUUAGGUCUGACAUCCUCAUCAACCCAAUCACAUAUAAAAUUCACCGUUUAGACUCUGAAGUCCUUGUCAGCCUAAUCACACACAAAACCCACGGCUCUCCUUAUUUAAGUCUGAUAUCCUUGCCCGGUUAGUGAAUUUGCUAUGAUAAUAAGUGUAACGACCCGACCUGCUAAUAAUAAUAGUUUAUUGGGCCCAAACAACCAGCCCAAAAUACUUAAGUCGUUGUUAUUAUUAGAAUCUUUGGUCUUUUGUAUAUCCAGGUCCAUUCCUAUUCGAUGUAGAACUAAUGGGAUGUCACACCAUGUGCGUAAGCAUUCCCCCACACACAAAUAAUGUUAACAAGAAGUCAACUUAUAUAAACAAUGGGAACUUCUUGGAGUAUCAAAAUAUUAGAUUAUUAUUCUAUUACAACUACUAAUCCAAAUGACCGACCGUUCCUAGAGCAGUGGCAAAGGGCUUAGUGGUUGGUAUCCGAGACUCAAGUUCUAAUCCUAGUUGAUUCACAUUUCUGGCUAAGUUUAUUUCUAAAUGAAAUAAACGAAGUAGGUAGCGUGCUACCCCCCCCUCUCUCUCUCUCUCUCUCUCAAAAAAAAAAAAAAAAAAAAAAAAAAAAAAAAAAAAAAAAAAAAAAACCCUACUAAUCUAAAUGAACUAUUAUAAGUUUAGUCCAAUAAUACAACUUUCCAAAAU